CAGCCGCCGCGGUAAUACGUAGGGUGCGAGCGUUAAUCGGAAUUACUGGGCGUAAAGCGCGCGCAGGCGGUUAUAUAAGACAGAUGUGAAAUCCCCGGGCUCAACCUGGGACCUGCAUUUGUGACUGUAUAGCUAGAGUACGGUAGAGGGGGAUGGAAUUCCGCGUGUAGCAGUGAAAUGCGUAGAUAUGCGGAGGAACACCGAUGGCGAAGGCAAUCCCCUGGACCUGUACUGACGCUCAUGCACGAAAGCGUGGGGAGCAAACAGGAUUAGAGACCCCCGUAGUCCCUGUCUCUUAUAC
rnacentral:rRNA from 1 species